GCCCCCGGCGCCGGCACGCGGACCCGAACGAGGCGACAAGGCCAAGUUCCCACCUGGUGGGAAGCACUGUGCAGGUUCGUGGGGAUGCAGCCCUGCACAGCCCAGACUGGACUCCUUCCCCAUGGAACUCACAACACACGGGAGAGGCAGAGAGAUCCAAGCGCACAGAAAAACACAAGAAGAUUCAGCCCUGUCAUCUUGUGCAAAUUUUCCACGUGAGGAUUUGCCUCACCACAGCUGGCCACUGGAGCUGCAGCAUCUGACACACUGAAUAACUCACCUUUCAGGUGCACGCGAAGGCCUCAACCAUCUGGAGAACACCUGCUGCAACAGAGUCACACAGGCUAGAGUGCAGUGGCAUGAUCUCAGCUCCCCACAACCUCUGCCUCCGAUGUUCAAGCGAUUCUCCUGUCUCAGCCUCCUGAGUAGCUGGAAUUACAGGGCAUGCUUUCUCGCCUGCCGGCCUUCCACCAUGGGAUGAAGCAGCAAGAAGGCUCUUGCCAGAGGCAGACCCCUCGACCUUGGACUUCCCAGCCCCCAGAACUGUAAGAAAUAAAUCUCUCUUCUUUA
rnacentral:lncRNA from 1 species